CCUAUAUGUGUGCACGCAUCUCCUUCGUGGCCGUUGGGCUUACGUGUGCUUAUUUCGAAGUGAGCCCCGCGAAAAGCCGUGAGAGCAAAGCAUUUCUAGCCCGCCCUUCUUCACCCCAAGGACUUCAGGGUCGCCUCUUCAUUCCUCGCAUUUUUAACCCCGUUCCAACAACACCCUUGUGAUGUAGGGCAGGCUGAGAGACGGUGACCGAGCCAAGGUCAUCCAGUGGUUUUUGCGCCUAAGGGGGUUUGAACCGCAUUGCUGCCCUUUCUUCCUGCUCGUUUUCAAAGUGCAUUCUGGAGAUAAUUUCUAUCUAGAGGCUGUAAUUUGCAUGCAAAGGUUCGGAAUACUUCAAACGGUGACCGUGACUGCAGACCUUAAUUGCAGCAAACAGAGCUCUAUUGUGAUCCAGAAGUCAAUUGUUUGGAAUACAGUACUGGGGUUCAUUCUUGGAAGGUGUAAUAAAUGUUAACGAGAAUGCUUUUGAGCAUGAACAGUGCUCAUAUCUAGGUCCACCUCCUUUGGGAUUUUCACACACCUUUUCAUAGUGUGUGUGAACUGGCUUCUUGCCAGCAACAGUGGAAAUUAAACCAGUUAAUAUCUUUUAUGGGACAAACAUCUUUCGGCAUCUAAGUAUGCAAAUUUUGAAGUUACAGAAGACUUCAGCAAACAAGAUUUUUCUCAUGUUAUAUAUAUAUUCCAUCUGAAACAAUAUGCUCACGUAUAAGCACUUCGUAGAACAAUAGUGCCUUAACUGUGUCACUACCAGCUUCAAAGCUCAUAAUCCGGCCAGAGCAGGGAAACUUGAUAUCUGUGUAUGUAAAUAUUUGGAGAGGAUAAAAUAUGUCUGAGAAAAUUUCAAAUCUCACUUUUAUACAUGGAUAUGUUUCCAAUAGGCAGGAGUCCCUGCUCAGCCAUGAAGCUCAUUGGGUGA